rnacentral:rRNA from 1 species
UACGUAGGGUGCAAGCGUUGUCCGGAAUUAUUGGGCGUAAAGAGCUCGUAGGCGGUUUGUCGCGUCUGCUGUGAAAACUCGGGGCUUAACCCCGGGCCUGCAGUGGGUACGGGGCAGACUAGAGUGCGGUAGGGGAGACUGGAAUUCCUGGUGUAGCGGUGAAAUGCGCAGAUAUCAGGAGGAACACCGGUGGCGAAGGCGGCUCUCUGGACCUGUCCUGACGCUCAGGCGCGAAAGCUAGGGGAGCAAACAGG